rnacentral:rRNA from 1 species
CCAAAUGACUCUCAGCAACGGAUAUCUUGGCUCUUGCAAC